CAGCCGCCACGGUAAUACGAAGGGUGCAAGCGUUACUCGGAAUUACUGGGCGUAAAGCGUGCGUAGGUGGUGGUUUAAGUCCGUUGUGAAAGCCCUGGGCUCAACCUGGGAAUUGCAGUGGAUACUGGGUCACUAGAGUGUGGUAGAGGAUAGUGGAAAUUCCGGUGUAGCAGUGAAAUGCGUAGAGAUCGGAAGGAACAUCUGUGGCGAAGGCGACUAUCUGGGCCAACACUGACACUGAGGCACGAAAGCGUGGGGAGCAAACAGGAUUAGAUACCCCGGUAGUCCCUGUCUCUUAUAC
rnacentral:rRNA from 1 species